CUGGAUUACUGGCUGUAAUCUUCGCUCCAAUACCUUCAUAUAAAUUUUGUAAUCCACAUUUGUAAGCGCUAUUGG
rnacentral:lncRNA from 1 species